rnacentral:rRNA from 1 species
UACGGAGGGGGCUAGCGUUGUUCGGAAUUACUGGGCGUAAAGCGCACGUAGGCGGCUUUGUAAGUUAGAGGUGAAAGCCCGGGGCUCAACUCCGGAAUUGCCUUUAAGACUGCAUCGCUAGAAUUGUGGAGAGGUAAGUGGAAUUCCGAGUGUAGAGGUGAAAUUCGUAGAUAUUCGGAAGAACACCAGUGGCGAAGGCGACUUACUGGACACAUAUUGACGCUGAAGAAC